GGCAAGAUGGCCGAGCGGUCUAAGGCGCUAGGGUCAGGUUUAUCUGAUCAUACAUAUCUGCUCCCAAGAGCAACUAUUCCUAGUCACGCAAGUGGCGUGGGUUCGAAUCCCACUCUUGUCA